AGAGUUUGAUCAUGGCUCAGGAUGAACGCUGGCGGCGUGCCUAAUACAUGCAAGUCGAACGAGGUGCUUUUGUAGCAAUACGAGAGUAUUCUAGUGGCGAACGGGUGAGUAACGCGUUGGUGACCUACCCCAAAGUGUGGGAUAACAGUCCGAAAGGAUUGCUAAUACCGCAUGUGGUCUUCGGAUUUAGAAACUGAUGACUAAAGGAGCAAUUCGCUUUGGGAGGGACCUGCGUCCCAUCAGCUAGUUGGUGAGGUAAUGGCUCACCAAGGCGACGACGGGUAGGGGACCUGAGAGGGUGGCCCCCCACAAUGGAACUGAAACACGGUCCAUACACCUACGGGUGGCAGCAGUAGGGAAUAUUGCUCAAUGGGCGAAAGCCUGAAGCAGCAACGCCGCGUGUGCGAUGAAGGCCUUCGGGUCGUAAAGCACUUUUCUGAGAGAUGAAAAAGGACAGUAUCUCAGGAAUAAGUCUCGGCUAACUACGUGCCAGCAGCCGCGGUAAUAC
rnacentral:rRNA from 1 species